UAACCUAAAGGACUUGGUUCCUCAACACAAUUUUGUGUUAAAUUGAACCAAACACAAAACCGUAGGUUAAUAUCUGAUCAUUAGACAUCAGCCAAAGAAGACAGGGUCCUGCCAAACUUAUGUACUCUUGUUUCCCUCCACGUACUUAGAAGUGCAUGGCGACUUGCGAGUGGCUAGCGGCUAGCGCAUUGGAUUACCACGGAUGUGCUCCAGGGUCGAUCCUGACCGCUGGCGAGUAAUUUUCAACGAGAACCUCACAGAUACACAUUUGUCGCAUACAAGCAGCCAGGCGAAGAACCUAUUAAAUUUGAUGAGUCGCGAUUGAAUGACACGCAAAUUCUUGAGCGAGAAAAAUUAUCAAACUUCUCAGCCAAGAACAUAGCGAAGAAAUAUGGUCUCAGGAACGCUGGUAUCAACUUCUUCCUAGUGAGCCACAGACGGCCUUACGUCAAUGAUGACUAUUUAAUAGACAUAGAAUAUUGGGAUGACUGAUUCCUCGCUUUGUCAAGACCUAUUAUUUGCUUUCAGACAAGUUUGGGAGCGAGAGGUUUUCAGGAAUUUUUCUGCAAUAUACCUACAAUGUAAAUACAACCUUACACCGGUAGCGAUCAACUUCUUCCUUGUGGAUCAGAAAGAAAUCUAUAUCUGGAUGACAACACAGACUUAGAAUCCUUGGCGGCUUUUCAAAUCGGAGCGGUCACCUCUCCAAAUAAAGAAAAUCAUUACGAUAAUUACUGAGAUUUUACCCGUGUGCUUUUAAAAUCCUUCAUUCACUUAAAAUUACACAUAGAAGGGGAAAAUUUAGAAAAAAUAAAAACAGAAGAAAAUAAAUGAAAUUCACUUUAUUCAUAAUGGCCUCAGUUUGAAAGAAGUUACUAGCAGGUCCUUUUAAAUUUCAGCUGCUCCGACUGCACGCUGAUUUUAGGAACCGAAAACUUCAGUGGCAAAAUGUUUUGUGCUGUUAUUUUAUACAUGUAUUCCACAAAUAUAGAUUGUUAAUUUUGUAAACUCCUUCUAUCAAAUGUUCCUCCUGUUAAGCUCAGUAAUUUAUUAGCUGACUCAAAACUUCUAUCGUGCGAAAUUUAUUUGGGUGGCGUUUGGACUUAAGCCAUUUUCCCCCCGUUUUUCGGUUUUUUAC